rnacentral:sRNA from 1 species
CAGAUACUGAUUGCCAAUCAAAGUACA